ACGCAAGGGUGUGCGGAGCAGUUCGUCCCUCCAGCUGAUUACAGGAACGUUACUGCAGUAAAUGCGCUAUGGUAAGAAUCAUAUCGAAGUCAUGAAUCACACCGUAUUGUAGUUAUUGCUAUUUUAAAUUAAAUGCACUGCGUUGAGAUUGUCAAAGUGUAGUGUGCGUUUUCGGCAAAGCCAGCAAGCAAGCUGCGUUGGGGCUCACAUUCAGCUGUCACCCCACUGGAAGCCAUCAGCCCCUACAGCUGGAGAGAGGAAACCGGAUAGCGCACUGGGUGAUGAUGUCAGUCAGUGGCAUGCUUUGAUGUCAACAAGUUUAUCAACAUGACAAAAUGAAACCGCUAAGUAGCGCUAGCUUCGGUAGCUAAUCACAUAGACAUAUAAAGAGUAGACGCCGCAACGGCUGCCGGGCAGGGAGAAAUGCGGCGGCCAUCUUGGGGCGGUCAUUCUACUCCGAGUUGAAUGAAUGUAGGCUACUAAGAAGAACGAAGAAAGAAAAGAGAAUAAUAAAUAAGUUUGAGUUGAGAAGCAGGGAGAAAAGAUGCCGCAGCAUUGCGCAGCUUAUUCCUAAUCGCCGGACUUUAUUGAACAGGAGUCGGGGGAUUACUUUUCACAAGGUGGCUGUGGGUAACUCUGAAGUCACCACUUUGAUAUGAGCGCCCUCCUUGGGCCACGACAGUUCAGUUCAUCCUUCAGUCUGUGAGGAGGAACCCAACAGAGACAUGGAAAAAUGAUGCAUCCGACUGCUGGUGGAAAUAAAAACAUAGAGUAUUUUGUAAGAUUUUUCACCGCAUUGAGAUAUUGAAACAAAUAGCUCGAGCUGUGAAGAGUAAGGAGACGGGACAGAUCAGCUGAGGAUAAAAUGCGCGUUGAUGUCGGAACAAGUUGUUAUCGUUGUCUAAGUGUCUUAUCGGUUGUUAUUAUUGUUUAAAAAAAAAUCUGAGUAAGUCGGUGAUAAAGUGGUAUUGUGGAAAUCUGCAGAAGGCGCUAAUAAAUUGUUAUUGUGGUUUGAGACUAUAAUAAGAGGUUGUAGCGGCCGUGAAGAGGGUCGAAAGAACUACAAGUCUAAUCUGUAGUAGUAGUUGUUGUUGUUGUAAGUCCUUAAAGAGAUCUGAUUCAUCACACUGAGUCAAACAUACUAAAGAGAAUUAGCCCACAAAGGAGUUCUAGAUUAUCCUUGUGAGUAAGAAAUUGAAAGGAAGUGACUUAUGCAAACCUGAUAAAGGGUAAUAUAAUGAAAAUAAUAGCAUAUAAUAGGAAGAAAAUAUAAUAUGACCCAAUAUGAGAUACUGUAAUAAUGAUAUGAUACAGUACAGUAUUACAUGAGGCCCCACUACAAUAAAAUGGGGGUAUGAGUAAAAAUAUAUAUAUGAAAUAAGUAUAAAGAAUAAACUUUGUGGUGACAUUCAGUGACUAGUAUACAGCCUGUAUACUACAGGGGUGCGUUGCUCGAAACGAAUGUGUCAUACAAACCACCUGGCUGAGUAAGUUACCCAAAGUUAGUGUGUGCUUUGAUGAGAUCCAUCCAUACACUGUAUGGGAAGAGCAGAGUGAUUGUGAAAUUUGUUUGAAUGAUAACUCCAUUGAAAGUUUAAGCACAUCUGUCCCAGUGAGUGGGUUGAAAACAUGAGGAACAAAACCGGAAAUUUAUAAGCUCUAUCUGACCCUCUUACAGGCUCUGCUGAAAUAAUGGCAGACAAAUGGGGAAAUAAUGUGGUUAAAAAUGUUCAACUUUGGCACUAUGUCACCCAUGGGGUGCUUCCAGUAAAAGGCACUUUAAGCACAGAAUGAAUGAUGAAUGAUAGUGUGUUAAAAGAAAAGAUAACAGGAAAGCAGGAAAGAAAAAAAAAAGAUAGACUGACAAGUUUUUAAAAUCAGUCGUGGGACUGAAACGGUAAUGGGAAAAUAGAGUUUGAGUAACAUAAAGAAGAAACAAUGUAGGGCCAGAAUUAGGAAUGGACCUCCUCCAUGCUGUCUCCACACCUACAACCUUCCUUUAAACAACACCUUCUCCACACGAGGUCAGGCAUCCCAGGAUGACUUUCUUAAGGAGGGAGGAGGAUAUCCAGUACACCCUGACUUUUUAGCCCUCUUUCUGUCUUCUAAAAUGAGUCACAAAUUAACCUUGCUUCUCCAAAAAAGCCUUUUUCUCCACCAGCCAGCUUCUACUGACUACUGGCUGCGGAGUCGAGAUCACUGAGGGGAUGAUGUUCCCUGACCCCGUGCCUAGGCAAACAAGGAAGCAGACUGUCAUUGAGAUCCAGAAGUGUUUUGUACACAGGCCAUGUCAGCCAAACAAAUUGAAGGAGGCUACAGAGGUAUCACCUGACACAAAGACUGGAGUCGGGUGGGCCACAGAGUCCUGGACAAAGAUGGCAGGCACUGCACAACAGCCAGAGGAAAAGGAGACUGGGCCCAUAUCAAAUUAUCAAGGAAAGUGCAACAGCACUGACCAGAUAAGCUAUGCUGCAGAAGUAAGGUUAUGGGAACCCCAAGCUUAAUCAUCAAGAAGGGAGAGAUCCAGAGGAAUCCUGACCACAUGCACCAGCUAAAGUUGUCUGUUCAUUUCCCAGGAUUCACCUUGACACAGCCAAAGGAGACAGCAGAGGUCAGAGGUCUGAACAUUGAGCAGCACAUAGACAAGACACACACACACACACACACACACACACACACACACACAAAGAGAGAAACACUGAUUGACUGUUAAAGACAAAGCUCUGAAGUGAAUACCUAUAUGCAAGUGACAUAUACAAUUAUUUGAUGAUUACAUAUAAGCUGCUAUUUCAAAUAUUAUAACCAGUUGUGUUGCAAAUACGGUUUAAGCCAGUUUAUAUUCAAGUAAACGCUAUGAUCUGUUCUUUGGAAGUACAGGGUGUGAGCUGAAGAAGGCUGUUGUUAAUCAAGUAGUAUUUGACCAACCUACUCUAUUGCCCAAAUGGUGUGUUCAUAAAAAAGAAAUUCAAAGCUGAUAUUAGAACUGAAAUAUUAGAACUGAUAAUAAAUAAAUAAACUGAUAAUGAUCUUGAAAAUACUGAGAUCCUUUAAAAAAGCAUUUAUAUAAAGUGUCUGUGUUGAUUGCAUCAUGAUUUUCACACCAAAGUUCACAUACCUGUUACAGAAGAAGUAAAAUCAUCAUUUGAACUACAGAAACAUCAAGCAUCUAAUAAAAACAUACAUAUAACGUGUCCACAGUCACAAGGUUCAGUAGAACAUGCCAAUGGUGCAUCAAAAACUAAAAUAGCCAAAAUCAUGGCUGAUGGUAAUGGUAAACUCACCUGGGAAGAUGCUUUGCCAUUAGCACUAAUGUCUAUGCACUCACAAACUAACAGACUAACCCAUCUAACCCUGCAUGAAAUGCUCAAUGGAUGCCCAAUGCCACUGCCACAGUGCAGGGGCCCUAUAGAGGGACCGCUUCAGCAGCUGGAGCGAAAUUUGGGGGACUAUUUACGGGGUUUAACUCAAAUCUACAGAUGUGUCCUCCAACAGGUGAAAGACUGAUAGUAGUGUCAGAGAGGCUGCAGAGGAUGAUGCCACCAGCACAACCACGGGCAGUGACACCCUGGAAAGUGCACGUGCAGGACCGUCCGGCCUGCAAGAUAUACACCACCCGUCCACGCCUGAAUUCUGGCCAGAGUCAGAGCGUUCUCUUACUCAGAUUAAUUUGUUUGUUUUCUUUCUCUUUGUGCUAACCCUUUCAGGUUUCGCAAGGGGGAGAUAGAAAGAGAAGUCCUAAUGACAUGUGCCACUAUUGACACACCACAUGUUAAUUGUGCACUUACCAUGGUCACCUUAGCCACAAUUACAAGGGCAUAGUGAAAAUGGGAGAACUACUACAUCUUCUGUAUGUAAAAGCUGAUACGUAUGGUUGUCCACUAACCACCGAUGGCACAAUAGCUAACGCUCCAGGUAAACAUUGGGUGGGACUACCCCGCACCACUGACUGCCAAGAGAAUGGAUGGUGAAAUUACAGGUAAUACGCACAAACAUGUCAUGUUAGGACACAGAAACAAUUAAAAAAUGAAACUGUUAGAAGCCAGUCGAUGGAUUUGGCUAAUGAGUAACUGAGAAAAAAGAGAUUUGGCCAAACUAAGAAGCACAGAAAAAGACCAACAAGAGUAUUGUACAUUACAAACGUCAAAAGAAUACCACUGCUCAUGCCACUGCCUCCUGGCAGUGGCAUGAGCAGAGGUCAGUCACAGAGGUGACUGUCCAGACAUAACUGAAUGUCUUGCUUUUUGUGCAGUGCACAUGGCAGUGAAAUUGGAUGGGUGGAGUUCCAACUCUCAAACAUGCCAAUGAAAACUUAAAAAGAAUGACAGCUAUGUAAAUUUGAUAAACUAAUCUUCCUUUUCUGUGUAGCACGAGGAGGAGUUGGAGUAUGUAACCUGAAGAAACACAACCAACCUGACGUGAGGCUAAUGAAGCGCAGCAAUGAGACCUGGUAUCCGGCCACCAAUGGGGGCAAUGCUACCACCAUAAAAAUGUGAAUCCAGUCCUUUAACAAUUAGCCCAACCACAACUACAGGAUGAGCUCUCCGUGGAUAAUCAGCUAGGAAGUCAUCAACAUCAUGGAUGGAGGUCAAAAUGUAAUUUAGACAAAUGUGCCAGCAAGGCUGUGAGCCUGGCUAAAGUUGCUGUCCACUCCUGCAGAGGAACAAUCCAAAUGGAUACAACAGAGCAGAGGUAUCUGUCAGUACCUGCACCCUCCAGGAAGAAGGGUGAGCUAGCAACACAGAGACUACUGUACAAGGAGAGAGACAGGCUGACAGGUUUAUAAAUUAUGUUCCAACAAUUGUACGACGAUCCUUUGUAUUCAACUUAGUUAUGUAGGGUCAAAUGUUGUAAAUGUGUUGAUGAAGAAAAGCGGGCACUCAUUUGUGAAGGUCACAUCAGAAAGCUGAGUGCCAUAAAAAGCACAAGAAAUGUAUUAAACCAGUGUGGUUUACAGGAAACCAGUAAAUUCAUAGGGACUCUGGUGUAAUGUUGGCCUUAGGGCCGCCACAAUAACCAAGGCAACACCACGGGUAAUAUGUCACCAAGGCUAACAAAUAACCCAAGCAUGUCAUUUAAGUCCAGGUGCUAAGAUUGAAUAGAGAUCUUACCUGUCUUUAUGUAACAUAUUUUACACAUUUAUGUAAAAAUACCAGAAGAAAUUUUUUUUACAAAAACAAAGGGUGGUAUGAGUGUUUUAUGUCAAUGAUCUCAUAAUUACUGAUUUAAUGUUUGCUGAACUGACCAAAGAAUGAUUAUCUUUACAAAGUGUGUCUAGAUAAUAUUCUAAUUCUAAAAGGUUUAAGAAUUUGUCUAUGUAAUCUUAUGCUUUUCUGAAAAAAAAAAAAAAAAA